AUACGGAGGAUCCGAGCGUUAUCCGGAUUUAUUGGGUUUAAAGGGAGCGUAGGUGGACAGUUAAGUCAGUUGUGAAAGUUUGCGGCUCAACCGUAAAAUUGCAGUUGAUACUGGCUGUCUUGAGUACAGUAGAGGUGGGCGGAAUUCGUGGUGUAGCGGUGAAAUGCUUAGAUAUCACGAAGAACUCCGAUUGCGAAGGCAGCUCACUGGACUGCAACUGACACUGAUGCUCGAAAGUGUGGGUAUCAAACAGGAUUAGAUACCCUGGUAGUCCACACAGUAAACGAUGAAUACUCGCUGUUUGCGAUAUACAGUAAGCGGCCAAGCGAAAGCGUUAAGUAUUCCACCUGGGGAGUACGCCGGCAACGGUGCAACUCAAAUGAAUUGACGGGG
rnacentral:rRNA from 1 species